rnacentral:lncRNA from 1 species
CUUUGAUUAGUUUAAACUUGUUAAGAUAAGACUAACGAUAGCAACAAAGAUUCUUUAUGUGGGAGCGGUCCUCUCACAGAUAAAUUGUUUAUACCAUUAUACCUUAUACACAUCCUGCCAUGAGAUGGCAAAUAUGUGGUGAACAAUAUCCCUAAAGACACAUAAGCAUAUGCUAAGCAUGAUAAGAGGCACAAGAUUUUCAGCCACUUCAAUCCAGUAAAGGUGGAACAAUUUAAGAUGUGGAUGAUAAGUGGGAUGAAAUAUAAAAUUGUUAAUUGCAAAGCCAGCUAUAGGACAUGGGAUC